CUGUGCUUUUACUACUUUGGCAAGACAAAAUGUCUGCUGUUUAAAAAAAACAAAAAACUUUUGCUUCAACUGUGCAGCUAAAGACAUCUGAGAAGAAGCCCAGUUUCUAAAGUGUUAAUAGAUUAAAUAUUAAAUGUGUGAAAUCGCAUUUGCCUGAGCACGUGUAAAUUCCCAAGUUACAAUUUGAUAGUCGAACAUCAGCUAGUAUUUUUAAAUACUAACUUCACAUAAGCAAAUUUUAAAACAUUUUUUUGUGUUUACUGAAGGUCAGCUAUCAGAAGCUUCAGAUUUUUCCCCAUUUUUAGUUUCCUUCAAUCAUGUAUGUUCUUUGUUCACAAAUCACAUAUGCACUGACAGAUUUUUUUUUUUUUUUUUUUAAUACAUGUUUUAACUCUACAAACGCUUCCUAACAUGCUCCAUGAUACCUACCUGCCUCCAGCUCCGCUCUCAAACUUUUGACUGACACGUGCUCAGGCUUUUUGUGCGCUCCACACACACCACGUGAUUCAUUCAGACCCCAGACGGCGAUCAUGACUCAGGUGCUCCAGGCAGGUAAUUAGUGACGUAAUAAUUGCCACUCUUCUUACAUUUCUUCAGCCUCAGGGGCGUUUUAUUUUUUAACAGGGCGUUUACACCGGUAGUUAAGCUAUUCAUGCUGCCUCCCUGUCAUGAAUCAGAGUCAUCGUUAAAGUUAUCAGUAACACCUGUGUUUCUCCCGCUGUGACAUGUCCAGUUUUUUGUUUGGUAAAGUCUUUUUCAUACCUAAAGUGAAGGUUAUUAACUGUGAUGCAAGAAUACUUUAAUGUAUGUGUGUUUUUCCCCUCAGGUAUGACCGCUGAAGUAUUGUUCUUGUGAAAAGAUGUGAUAGAGAGCCAGGCAGAUCAUGAGGUGGCACACAGGAGCUGCAGCUCUUGCAGCAGGUUGCAUCAGUCUCGUCAGAUCCGGCCCUCGCAGCUGUGAAUAGCGCCCCCCCACAGCACUUCACUGCAUGACUAACACAAGGUGAAACCACUGUCACAUUUUACAGUGAGUGUAUUUGUGUGAGACAACUGAGCUCAUAUUUGCCAUCAGCCAAGGACAUGUGACUCAGUCAGCUCAGAUAUCAGGGAGUGUUACUGAUUAGAAAUUUACAGCACAGAAUCAGAUGAAACAACCUCAACCUUGGCCAAAAGAUAACUGUAGUUAAUAUGAAACUAGUGAUACUGGAGAGAGCUCAUAACAGGAAGUACAGUCUUCACUUCAGCCCUUUAACCAACAUACUAAGACGUUGUAAUAAUCAGACGAACAAGUGUGUAGUUCAAAGCAUUUUAUUGCAUUUUUUUUUUAGAAAAACAAUACAAAAUUCUGUAGCAACGGUCAUAAAUGUUGCUUCGAGUGAACUGCAAUCAUUCACAUGGUACAGUAAAGUGCUUAUUUUAAAUCAAAAUAUUUCGUAUUAAAGGAUGUAUUUAUUUUAAAUCUUCUCCCAUGAACACGAUGGGCUUGGGGUGAUUCAGACAGUGUUUGAAUCAGGUGUCAACGCUCAAACAAUAAAAUAAAAUUGAGACUGAAUCAACGUAGACAGAAUGACCCCACACCAUGUCCGUGAAAUGAAGCAUUUAUAAAACAUUUUGAUCAAUGUUGCUGGAUUGUAAAUGCUUUUGCCUGUGGGCUACAUUCAAAUUGUGGGGAGGUGGAUGAUGGACUGUCCAUUUGAAUGAAUGACUGGAUUUUAACACUUGCUUACUUCAAAAUGACUUACAAUAUAAAAAUUGCGAGGCUUAAGGAUAUCAUUUUGUCCCGUCUCCCCCCCCAGUAAAAGGCAGUCCAAAAAGCUACUGCCAUUCGACAAAAGUAGAAAUGGUCAUGACCAAAAAAACUGUUAUACCAUUCAGGAUAUUACAGAGUAUGGCCAAUAUGUGUGCGUUUGAGUAUCCAACCCUAUCAAAAAGUAGGGACCAACUCAUCUGAUGCUCAAAAGGGAGAAAAAGGCAGAAUACUGAACUGUAUAGGUAUUUUCAAAAACCCAAGAUUGCCUUGAUCAUCAGCUUAAUGCUUUGAGAUUACUGAUAGCAAAGUAGUUUCCCAAAUGGAGAAGAAACAGCUGCAUACACAAAUUCAAGUAAGUCUUAUUAUAAGACAUAAAACCCCAUAACGAUGCAUCUGUAGAAAGGUAUUUCAGAACUAUUACAGUGUCCUAUUAUCAGCAUAAUGACACCAAGAGAGCCAUUUCCAGAGUACCGUUGCUGCAGUGCUGGCAACAGGACAUGGACAAUCAGAAGUCCGCACUUCUCACUGCUCGGUGAUGAUCACACGUUCAAUGUCAUGACUUGAACCCUCUUUGGUGAAAUGGCUACAGUGUUGUGAGACCUCAUCACCAGUCCAUUACCUGUCAGUUUCAGAAUGAGCUUUAACUUAAUCUGAAUUAACAAAAAAAAAAAAAAAAGAUUAUUGCCAACUCUUAACACAUAAAAAAAUAAAACUUAAAAACUCCCCUUCACUGGGCAUGAACGCUCCAGAUCAACUAAACAAACUCUUUCCAUCUCACCUCAUACACCACAUACUCUGAACUUUUAAAAACAAAAAACGAGGAAAACAUCCGGUGUUUCACCUGAACUGAACAGCACCUGCAUGAAAACCACCAUAUAGAAAAUAAAAAGCUUAUUAACAGCCAUACAAAAAAAGGAAAAAAUAAAAAUCAGUGUGGCACAAUGACAUGGAGUUUUCAAACAUGAAACAUAAAGUAAACUUAAUACAGCUACACAUUUAUGGAAGACUUUUUUUUUUUUUCUUUUUUUCUUUUUGUGGAAUGUUUUCCUUUUUUUUUUAAUGUUUCUUUUUUGGAAAAUCUUAUCUGCCUCCUUUUUUGUCAUGAGAAUUUAUGUCAUUUUGAAAGGGGUGUCUCAUAAAAAAAAAAACAAGACAAUAGCGAACCUUUUUCGGGGGGAAAAAUGGUCCAAAUAAAUGUAUUCAAUCAACAGAUGACACUGUCACAUUGGCCAAAAUGUGCUUUUCAAACCCCUGAUAGGAGUUCUAACCUUUACUGACAAAAUAGUCAAGGUUAAAUCUUAUGUAUUGAUUUGUAGAAACAAAAAUUACAAAAAAAAUAAAAAACAAAAACAAGUUCUGGUUGUGGCAAGGGGACAUGUCAUGAAUUCUUUACAAUUAAAGUAACACUGACCCAGUUUCAAACAAAAUUAGCUUGUACCAACAGACCAGAUAUACUUCAGAGAUAGCUCAGAAGUCUAAUUUUGGGAUGGCCAUGCAUCACAAACCAAGUAAAUUAGUUUAAUCCAAUAUUAUUAGACUUGCCUGACGGUCUCAUUUAAACACUGAAAGGUGUGGCUACUGAUAGUUUGGCAUAUACGUAUGUUCAUGAAAUAAACUGAAUGAAUCGGUGCAACAGUAAUUCAUAGCCGGCUGGGUACAGACAGACAUUCUUUGCUCCAGGAGCAUUAAGUGCAUGACCACUAGCCUAGAUGAGUGCGUGUUUUAUCUCAGACAUUUACAGAGGAGGCCCAGUGUUGAGGAAUU